GACGAACGCUGGCGGCGUGCCUAAUACAUGCAAGUUGAGCGAUGAAGAUUGGUGCUUGCACCAAUUUGAAGAGCAGCGAACGGGUGAGUAACGCGUGGGGAAUCUGCCUUUGAGCGGGGGACAACAUUUGGAAACGAAUGCUAAUACCGCAUAACAACUUUAAACAUAAGUUUUAAGUUUGAAAGAUGCAAUUGCAUCACUCAAAGAUGAUCCCGCGUUGUAUUAGCUAGUUGGUGAGGUAAAGGCUCACCAAGGCGAUGAUACAUAGCCGACCUGAGAGGGGGAUCGGCCAAAUUGGGACUGAGACACGGCCCAAACUCCUACGGGAGGCAGCAGUAGGGAAUCUUCGGCAAUGGACGAAAGUCUGACCGAGCAACGCCGCGUGAGUGAAGAAGGUUUUCGGAUCGUAAAACUCUGUUGGUAGAGAAGAACGUUGGUGAGAGUGGAAAGCGCAUCAAGUGACGGUAACUACCCAGAAAGGGACGGCUAACUACGUG
rnacentral:rRNA from 1 species